UCAGACGGCCGGGCGGCCGCCCGGCGGACCCCAAAAGGCGACGCCGGGAGGAAAGUCCGGGCUCCACGGAGAAAGGGCGCCGGGUAACGCCCGGCCGGUUCGCCCGGAGACGGGCGGGCCGAGGGACAGCGCCACAGAGAUCGAACCGCCUCGGCCUUUCGGCCGCGGCAAGGGUGAAAAGGUGCGGUAAGAGCGCACCGGCUCGCCAGCAAUGGAGAGCGCAUGGCAAGCCCCGCCCGGAGCAAGACCGAAUAGGGACCGCGCGCCCCUCAAAAGGCAGGCGCUUCUCCGCGCCGAUGCGGUCCGGGUUGGUUGCUGGAGGCGGCGCGCAAGCGCCGUCCAAGAGGAAUGGUCGCCCCUUUCGCAGGAAAGGACAGAACCCGGCUUACAGGCCGUCUGACGCU
rnacentral:RNase_P_RNA from 1 species